GAGUUUGAUCAUGGCUCAGGACGAACGCUGGCGGCAUGCCUAACACAUGCAAGUCGAACGGAGUAAGAGAGAAGCUUGCUUAGCUCUUACUUAGUGGCGGACGGGUGAGUAACGCGUGAGUAACCUGCCUUUCAGAGGGGGAUAACGUUCUGAAAAGAACGCUAAUACCGCAUGAUAUAUUGAGGUCGCAUGGCCUUGGUAUCAAAGGAGCAAUCCGCUGAAAGAUGGACUCGCGUCCGAUUAGCCAGUUGGCGGGGUAAAGGCCCACCAAAGCGACGAUCGGUAGCCGGGUUGAGAGACUGAACGGCCACAUUGGGACUGAGACACGGCCCAGACUCCUACGGGAGGCAGCAGUGGGGGAUAUUGCACAAUGGAGGAAACUCUGAUGCAGCAAUGCCGCGUGAGGGAAGACGGUCUUCGGAUUGUAAACCUCUGUCCUUGGUGAAGAUAAUGACGGUAGCCAAGGAGGAAGCUCCGGCUAACUACGUGCCAGCAGCCGCGGUAAUAC
rnacentral:rRNA from 1 species